GACGAACGCUGGCGGCGUGCUUAACACAUGCGAGUCGAACGGAAAGGCCCUGCUUUUGUGGGGUGCUCGAGUGGCGAACGGGUGAGUAACACGUGAGUAACCUGCCCUUGACUUUGGGAUAACUUCAGGAAACUGGGGCUAAUACCGGAUAGGAGCUCCUGCUGCAUGGUGGGGGUUGGAAAGUUUCGGCGGUUGGGGAUGGACUCGCGGCUUAUCAGCUUGUUGGUGGGGUAGUGGCUUACCAAGGCUUUGACGGGUAGCCGGCCUGAGAGGGUGACCGGCGACAUGGGGACUACGAUACGGAGCAGACGCGUACGGGAGGCAGCGGUGGGGAAUAUUGCACAAUGGGCGGAAGCCUGAUGCAGCAACGCCGCGUGCGGGAUGACGGCCUUCGGGUUGUAAACCGCUUUCGCCUGUGACGAAGCGUGAGUGACGGUAAUGGGUAAAGAAGCACCGGCUAACUACGUG
rnacentral:rRNA from 1 species